AGUGAACGCUGGCGGUAGGCCUAACACAUGCAAGUCGAACGGCAGCACAGUAAGAGCUUGCUCUUACGGGUGGCGGGUGGCGGACGGGUGAGGAAUACAUCGGAAUCUACUUUUUCGGGGGGGAUAACGGAGGGAAACUGACGCUAAUACCUCAAACCACCUACGGGUGGAAGCAGGGGAUAUACGUACAUUGCCAGAUUGAAUGAGCCGAUGUCUGAUUAGCUAGUUGGCGGGGGAAAGGCCAACCAAGGCAACGAUCCGUAGCUGGUCUGAGAGGAUGGUCAGCCACACUGGAACUGAGACACGCCCCAGACUCCUACGGGAGGCGGAAUUGGGGAACAUUGGACAAGGGGCGAAAUCCUGCCGCAGACAUACCGCUUGGUUGAAGAAGUCCUUCGGGUGUUAAACCCCUUUUGUUGGGAAAGACAAGCAGCAGGUUAAUACCCCGAUGUUCUGACGGUACCCAACGAAUAAGCACCGGCUAACUUCGUG
rnacentral:rRNA from 1 species